rnacentral:rRNA from 1 species
GAUCCGGGCUCAGGAUGAACGCUAGCGACAGGCUUAACACAUGCAAGUCGAGGGGCAGCACAGGUAGCAAUACCGGGUGGCGACCGGCGCACGGGUGAGUAACGCGUAUGCAACUUGCCUAUCAGAGGGGGAUAACCCGGCGAAAGUCGGGCUAAUACCGCAUGAAGCAGGGGCCCCGCAUGGGGAUAUUUGCUAAAGAUUCAUCGCUGAUAGAUAGGCAUGCGUUCCAUUAGG